GGAUGGGCCCGCGUCCCAUUAGCUAGUUGGUGAGGUAACGGCUCACCAAGGCGACGAUGGGUAGCCGGCCUGAGAGGGUGGACGGCCACACUGGGACUGAGACACGGCCCAGACUCCUACGGGAGGCAGCAGUAGGGAAUAUUGCGCAAUGGACGGAAGUCUGACGCAGCGACGCCGCGUGAGCGAUGAAGGUCUUCGGAUCGUAAAGCUCUGUCCUUGGGGAAGAAGGUCUUCGGACUUGACGGUACCCAAGAAGAAAGCCCCGGCUAACUACGUGCCAGCAGCCGCGGUAAUACGUAGGGGGCGAGCGUUGUCCGGAAUUACUGGGCGUAAAGGGUGCGUAGGCGGCCCUUUAAGUCGGAUGUGAAAGCCCGCGGCUUAACCGCGGAAUGGCAUUCGAAACUGGAGGGCUUGAGUGUCGGAGAGGGUAGUGGAAUUCCCAGUGUAGCGGUGAAAUGCGUAGAUAUUGGGAGGAACACCAGUGGCGAAGGCGACUACCUGGACGAUAACUGACGCUGAGGCACGAAAGCUAGGGGAGCAAACAGGAUUAGAUACCCUGGUAGUCCUAGCCGUAAACGAUGGUACUAGGUGUGGGUGGUUUCGA
rnacentral:rRNA from 1 species